UUUUUGUUUAAUUCUUUGUUUUAAUGCCACACCGAGUCUGGGCUUUUUCAAGGUGUCAAGCUCAGGAGGGGCAACUUUGGGUUGCAAAUAGCAGCCGUACACCUCCCCCGUGUUUGUCAGAGAUUGUUAUGGCCUCUCUGAAACAGCCUGGUGUGAGGAGAGGGGGGCCCCUGCUCUUUGGGCCUGAGAUGGUGCAGACACUGGUACAGCCCAGCCUUCGAGGGCGCUCAGGGCCACUGCUUUUUACUCAAUAUGGCAACGUUGCCUGCCUGGCCCAUCUGUAGUGGGUGGGAGGGCACCAUGCCCAGCAGCCAUCCGCUAAGGAAGUCCUGGAGCUAAAGGUGACCUCUAGGGUCCAGCCCCUGUCCAAUCCUAAGGCUUUAGAGAUAGAGUCACCAGCUAGGACCCCCCCAAACCUAGCUUCUCUAGAAGGUGGCUCCCUCAACUGGGCCAACAGUAUUUCGGGUCUGAAGACCAAUACUCUGCAGACGGAUCGCAGUCAUUCCCUGGGAAGGGUGGAGGCUCCUGGAGGUUUUCUUUGCUCCGUUGCCUGGGCUAACCUGAGGGGUUUGAGGUUCAGAGGUGCCAAGCUUACCCCAACAGAACCCCAUAGCCCUGGCUCCAACCGCAACACUGGGUUCGUUUGGCCUAGGAGGGCCAGACUUGCAUCCCUUAACCGC
rnacentral:lncRNA from 1 species